rnacentral:lncRNA from 1 species
AUGAAAGAAGGGAACGUCCUCAGCCUUCCUCGCCAGCUUCUCUCCUGCGCUCUUCGGGCGAAUCGGAGAGGCGGACGCUGCGCUGGGCAAAGUUUGUCCCACCCUCCUCUCGCAGCUGGCGGCGAGGAGAGGAGGGAAGCGGAGCUCCGAGCCUGCAGCCGCGGGAGAGACUGCGCCCGCGCCGCGCUUACCUCGCAGUCCUCGUACUUGAUGUUGUCCGUCAGUUUCCAAAGCAUUUUCAUGGAUCGGCGUGAAUGGGUUUGGCCCCUCUCCGCCUCGCACCCAAGUGGAGCUACUCUCUGGCCUAAUCGCCUCAUUAGCAUAUCAACAAUAGUCCAAUUGCUCGCCAGCACCACAAUCUGCCGCCGGCCGCUCUGACCCAGGUAUAAAGGCCUCUGCGAGCCGCGAACUCGCUCCUAGAGAGCACGCCCGCCCGGGAGCCCACGGAGUCUCCCCUGAGCCCCGCAGCGCGCCGCUGAGCCGGCGCCCCCGGCCCCGUGUCGCCCGAGUCGUCGUCUCUCUCCUCUUUUCCUCGUCCCGGCCCUGCGCACGGUCCGAGCGGCCGCUCCCGGGGCCCAGCUCUCCCAGCACCUCUCCCCCAUCCCUCCCUCUACCAGCGGUUCCGUCCUUUCGGGCCCUGUCCAAUUUUAGCAGAAAUGAUUAUUCCUUUUCUCAAUUAAAUAUAACCAUCAACCCAAGACCGGCGACAUCACUCCAGGAUUUUCUGCCCAGCUAAAGAUCGCCUCCGCUGCGGGUAGCCGCCACCUCCGGCCGCAGGGCCCCGGGAGUUUUAUUGGCUUCGCGCUUCACCGCCCCCCCUCCCCAAUCCCCAGGUUGGAGAUUUUUGCCAAACGGCUUUAGUCGCUCGGCUGGGGUUUGCCAUCCUUUAAUUGCCGAGUGUAAAAUAAAAAGUGUACCCCGAAGAGGUUGCUUGACAGCUCCAGGGGUUAAAUACUUUUCCUCGCAUUUGUACGAAGCUAGGGCCGACGGAUAAUUCAACGUGGUAUUUGGGCUAAGGGCUUCCUAGGUGCGAUGUGGACAGGCAUACGGAAACUCCUACGGAGGCUCACGCACGCUUCUGGAGUUGAGCCGAAAUACCGACAUGUGUGCGCCGUGUCAUGCAUGCAUCAAAAUAAAUCGCUGGGAACCAACCCUUUGCUGUGCUAAUCUGCUCCAGUUUUCCCAAGAUUCCCCUUUUUAAUUAAAGCAGGGAGAGUUCCUUCAUGAUUCGGUGCUGUCACUAACGCGAGCGCGCUCGCGGCGCAGUGCCCGGCUGGCGCGGAACCCGGAGGCCGGGGAGCCACCCCCUGGUUCUGGUCCGCCAGUCUAGACUCCCCGGCUCCACGCAGGGGCCUGCACGCCCCACUCGGGCUUCGUGUUUUUUUUCCUAGUGUGAAACAAAAUUUAAAGAAAGAACGACCCAAAAAGAUGUGAUGUAAUCAUUAGAAAUAGAGGGAUCAAUUUCCCCCGGUGAGCGUCCUCGUUUGUCCUCCGUAAAAAAACCUUCUUUCUCCCUCUGCAAUCCUGCAAACCACUCCCCACCCCCAACCCCCCCCAACUUUUGAGGAAGUAACAGUGGUUUCUGCCUCUGAGUUGCUUUAGUAACGACCUCUGAUUCCGUCUAGGCCUGUUUCUUGCAAAACUCCAGGCCUCCCAGUUUUCUCAGGGCGUCCUCGCAGGGGCGGAGGAGGGAGGGUAAGAGGCUGUGGCAAAUAGGAGCGUUGCUUAACAGGUGGAAGGAAGGCGAGAGGAGGGGGACCCCCCUCCUCCCCUAGCUGCCCCACGCCCAAAAAGACCGCGGCCAAUUCCCCAAGCCUGGCAGAGUAGGCCACAAGCACCACCGUCCUCCCAACGACAACAACAACAAAACUUCUAAGUUAGGAAGGCGACCAGAGCUAGAAGGGGGUUCAGAGCCGGGGGUGGGGGGAGAGGGGGCGCCUCCCGAGGCGCCAGGCCCUCCCUUGCACUCCCUUUUCCCAUCUGCACACCAGCACAGCCUCUUGGCUGAACCCAGCUCGAGACUCGGCACGGUACUCCGCCCUCAAAAACGGUCAACUUCCAGCCUAGCGCCACGCACCCUGCGGGCUGCCCCCAGGGCCGCCGCCCAGCAGCAGCGGCUGGACGUCGGGAGGGAGGCCGCCUGCCCGCACCCCGCCGCCGCCCCAGCCCCAGAGAGCAAUCUGUAGGCCACGCUCUGGGCUGGGAGCAGGGCAGUGUACACCCUCACGUCGCCAGCGCCCCCAAUGCGCAUGGGGAGCUAAGUUUCGCUUUCUUUCUCCUUCUGGGCUGGGGAAGGCAUGUAAAGGCCUCGUCUUAUCCACAUUCCCUCUUCGCUGAGGAGGAUCUCUGGCUCCGCACCCGCCGGGGCUGCUAAACUGUUGUUGUUUUCCCGCCGAGGGCGCCUUUGAGGUGCAGAUUGGGGCCCGAGGGCUCUGCGGCGCCGAGCGCUUUAGAAAGGCCCCAGCCAGCGUCCCGUCGCCCCCGGAGCCAGCGAGACCGCGCUAGUGUGAGCGUCAUUUCCACCACAAGCCUCUUCAUUGCAUGUCAAUGCUCCGGCCUGCCAGGGACCCCAGGACGGCAGCGCCAGGCCUGGCGGCAGGGGUCAGGCGGGGGUAGGGGGGCUGUCUAGGCCUGGCCUGGGCUUGUGUAAAGGGCGUUGGGAAAAGAGUGAGUUAUCUGUGUGAGGGACAGAGACAACUGAGAGAGACCAAGAGACACCCAGGGAGACGGGAUGCUACCAUUUUCGCCGGUGAUGGUGGUGGUCACCACCAAGUGGGCCCCAGGAGUCCAGCAGGCCCAACCUGGAGGACCUGGCCCCUACAGACCCCAAAGCCGCUUGCCCGACCAGAGAUCCCAGCUUCCCACUGCUUGUUAAACUGAGCCUGCCCAGAGACAGGCCCAUGGUUCACUCCUGUCUUCUUCAGGCUGGAAUCUUGCUGCCUACAAACCUCAGCGGGGGCUCACUGGAGGCCCAGCCCGUGGCCAGGCCUGCACUCCUGGCCUUUUCUCACCCAGAGGAUUUCUGCGCAAAGUUCACCCGGCUUGAGGAGAAAACCGAAAGACCUCGGCUUUCAAAGAGCCCCCCAGUCUUCACCCUCCAGAGAAGAGAAUGAAGAAGGUCCCUGAGAACCACAGGGCAAGACAGGGAGAGAGUGGGUGCCUGAGAUCUGAGUUCGGAGCGGGAUUUGCACCCUUAAACCACAAAGUCUAACUCUGGAGAUGAAGUUGCACUUGUUUAGGUUUAACUGGGAAGGAGAGGCUUCAAAGACCUCCUAGCUGGUAAAAUAAUAGGUACAAGGAAAGAAAGACAUCGUGUUGACUUCCUUUUCCCGACUCCAGAGAGCGAGGUGAAGAUGGGACUUCUCUGAACUUUGCUUCUCGUGGCCAGAACCUGAAACAAGCGAAAGAACUCGCCCGGAAGGAGCAGGGCCUCAGCUUUUCUUUAGGAAGUUCGGGGCCUUCCAGUCCAAUGGGCUGGCAGGCUUUUCCACACUCAGAAUCUCGCCCCAAGAGGCCUUCCCGUGGCUAGGGCGAAAGGAGGGCCCGGCGGUUCCCAUUAGGAAAUCGGCGACAGGGGAGAGGCUGCCCUCCUCACCAGCCUGGCCACAGCCUCCCUGGUUUCGUAGGGAAAUGUCUGGAAGGCAGGAGGAGGGCGCUGAACCUAAGGCUCCCUUGGCCGAGUUCGGGCCCCGGGCUCAAAGAGCGAAGUAUCUGGAGUCUACUUGGCCUCGCCGGUGCCUGCGGCCUAGUCGGGCCAACGUCGGGAGGCGUUGGUUUCGAUCAAAUCUAGGCCUUCUGCCGCAUCCCUCGCCACUUACUGCUCCCCACCAGUCACCUCCAAGCGGUGAAAAAAGAAAAAAAAAAAAAAACUAGCUUCGGGAACUAGCCGGAGUGAGAAGCUCAACUUGGCGCAAACUCUUUAAGGCAUUCCCCGGAAAGAACACGCUCGCCGGCGCGACCCGUCCAGCCGGGCCCCUCUCUAGUCUUGCCGCCCUGUUGGCGGGGAGGAGAGCCAGGUGCAGAGGAGCCCCGGCUCACGCGCAGCCUUGGGGUCCAGGGCGAGACCGGAGGCGUAGCGAGCACGGAACCUUCCUCCCAGCGCAGCGCACCCCCGCCCCGCGCCCUGCCCCCGCCCGAAUGAGUCAUCCAGCCCAGUUUCUACUUGGGGGGUGGUGGCGGGGCGGGUGG